rnacentral:rRNA from 1 species
UACAGAGGUCUCAAGCGUUGUUCGGAUUCAUUGGGCGUAAAGGGUGCGUAGGCGGCGCGGUAAGUCGGGUGUGAAAUCUCGGGGCUUAACUCCGAAACUGCAUUCGAUACUGCCGUGCUUGAGGACUGGAGAGGAGACUGGAAUUUACGGUGUAGAGGUGAAAUUCGUAGAUAUCGAGAGGAACACCGGUGGCGAAGGCGGCGAUCUGGACGAUGACUGACGCUGAGACGCGAAAGCGUGGGGAGCAAACAGG